AAGCGGCGUACGGGUGAGUAACACGUGGAUUAUCUACCUCUUUGUGGGGGAUAACCCUGGGAAACCGGGGCUAAUACCGCAUAAGUCCGAGAGGAGAAAGCAGCAAUGCGCAGAGAGAGGAGUCCGCGGCCGAUUAGCUAGUUGGUAGGGUAAAAGCCUACCAAGGCAAAGAUCGGUAGCCGGCCUGAGAGGGCACACGGCCACACUGGCACUGAAACACGGGCCAGACUCCUACGGGAGGCAGCAGUGGGGAAUCUUGCACAAUGGGGGCAACCCUGAUGCAGCGACGCCGCGUGAGCGAUGAAGCCCUUCGGGGUGUAAAGCUCUUUCGGCAGGGAAGAUUAUGACGGUACCUGCAGAAGCAGCUGCGGCUAACUACGUGCCAGCAGCCGCGGUAAUACGUAGGCAGCAAGCGUUGUUCGGAGUUACUGGGCGUAAAGGGUGUGUAGGCGGUUUUCUAAGUCUGGUGUGAAAUCUCCCGGCUCAACUGGGAGGGUGCGCCGAAAACUGGAAGGCUAGAGUACUGGAUGGGAGAGUGGAAUUCCUGGUGUAGCGGUGAAAUGCGUAGAUAUCAGGAGGAACACCUGUGGUGUAGACGGCUCUCUGGACAGUAAC
rnacentral:rRNA from 1 species